CGCCCGGACCGUAGGUCUACAAGCAUUCCACAACCAUCAUCUGCGAGGUGAGAAGUGCGAGCGUGCAGUCUCUCUCCGUCCCUUGACCGUGCGGCACAAAUCGACCGAAAAUCGCGUCGUGUUUCUCGAGUUCUCAAGACCAACGAGAUGUGCUCGAAUACGAACAUCGCGUUGCGUAACGGUGGCGAUACAUGAGAGGACUGGUCGGAAGACUGAUAGUGACGUGAUCAGUGAACCGCGGACUAUCUAACCACAAAUCGUGUGCAUGACGAAUUAAAAGCAGUGCAGUGAUCCGCAAUAUUGUCACGUAUUUCCUGAUUGAUUAUUGAUUGAUUGAUAUAGUGAUUGAUCAUUAAGUAUCGAGGCAUCGUGUGAGACGAAAGUCUCAACCACGGCAGCAAAAUUGAUCUGGACUUGCACCAACGCACCGCCGGCUUUAUGAGAGCCGGCGGCAGCAUGUGCGAUGGUUCCUUCACGGAGACUCUGCGUAGUAUGCAGGGAAUGACGGGAGCGUCGCCACCGGGUGGUACCGGUGUCAAUCCCAUGGGGGUUGGCCUCGGUAGUCCGCUUGUCCCAGCAGGCAAGAAAGUGCAGGUGGAACACAUUAAACGGCCGAUGAAUGCCUUUAUGGUCUGGUCACGGCUACAACGACGGAAGAUCGCGCAAGAGAAUCCCAAAAUGCACAACAGCGAAAUCUCCAAGAGGCUUGGUGCCGAAUGGAAACUCCUCACAGAAGAUGAGAAACGCCCGUUCAUUGAUCAGGCAAAAAGGUUACGUGCCCAGCAUAUGAAAGAACAUCCGGAUUACAAGUACAGACCACGAAGAAAACCCAAGACUCUGCGGAAAGAAGGCUACCCUUACAGCAUCCCAUACCCAAGUGUUCCCAUGGAUGCUCUUCGAGCCGGUAUGGCUGGUAGCAUGGGACAAGCAGGAAUGGGCUCUUAUUACAGUCCCGCGGCGGCCUACGGCUCUAUCUCAGCAGCCAGCAUGGCCGCGGCCGCGGCUGCGGCCGCACAACAGUCGGCCGCCAUGUCUGGUCUCGCGGCACCUGCUCAGGUGGUGAGCUCGAUGGAUGCCAUGAAAUAUUCCAUGGAAGCUGACAAGUAUCGCGCCGCCUACAUGCCGCCUAGUACUCUGGCGAUGAGUAUGUAUCCGGAUCCCAAGUACCUGGACUCAAACCCUAAAACCUAUCUGGACCGGAGUUACCUAGUGGACUCCGCGAAGGCGUACUUCGAGCAAUCCAAGCUUUACAUGGAUCAGAAACCUACGAUUGUCGACUACAACCGGCCCAGUUAUGAGCCUAAUAAGCUGUACGAAGAAUCCAGCCCAAACAGCGUCAUCGGCGGCAAUGGAUCCACUCGGUCACCGGCUGCAGAGUCGCCUGACACGAGCAAACAGCAUGAGAGAACAGAACAAGCCUCGUCUAGCGCGAGCUCAACAUCGACGUCAUCAGCUGCAAGUCCCGGCGCGACUCUCCCGACAUAUUAUUCCGGACCAGUCCAAGCCAGUGGUUUAUUGGCCCCACAGAUGGGACAAUACGGUGGAUACCAAGCAGCGCCUACACCGGGAAACGAAUCCUUUCGCCGACCAUUGACAGUCAUCUUCUGACCAUCCGAUAGACCGUAACUCUGAUCCAUUUUCGAGGAGCACUUGCUGUGAUGGCUAACUCGUUGGAUUGCAACAAUUGGACCGCGAACUCGACCGAUCAGAAAUGACAGUGCAGCAAAAGGAAUUUCUGUACGUUACCAGUCGCGGUUCCAAUUGAGGAUCAGAGCCUAAUUCUCUGUCAACAUGGAACAUAAUUCGGAGUUAUUAUGAGGAUCUAUUAAGCUCAUAAAUGAUCUACAUUUUUCUUUAGGCAAAUCAAAGUAUAACUUACGUUAAAAGUUUUGCCCGCUUUUAUGCAGUUUUAUAGUGCUGCCACAAAUAAGGAAAAUAAUUUUAAUGAUUUAAUCGAUGCAAAAUAACCUCAAAAAAGGAUCAAAAUCGCAAAACUGGCAAUGGAAGUUACAAUAUGAAAAGGAAGAACCCAAUUAAAUUCAUGACAAGAUCUUAAUUAGUCAAGAAAACACUACUGACAUUUGACUGGGAUCUCUUAUGUCAACACUCCUUAGAAGACAUACUUUUGAAUAUUGGACGAAUUAUUAAAACAGCUUGAUGGCUUUCUAGCAUCCAAACACCACAGUCUCCUCUCCGAUGGAAUUCAUAUACUGCCCGAAAAAUGAUGUAAAGUGAUGUCGAAAGGGAUGUCAAUGAUUUAAUUAGUAAUCUUUUUUAUAAAAAGUAGUGAACUUAGUAAAAAGGAUUAGAUUAUUUAUGAGCAUGUCUAAUAUUUCCUAGAAGAAAAGUUGUCGCGGGCUACAGCGUAAAGUGGAUUUCACGUAAUAAAAGUGAAAGAAACUGCGUGUGAUAGUGCUCUAGAAACAACAUUCUCUUUGUUCAACUAGAUUUCCCGAAUCUUGCCAAACUUUCCAACAAUGGCUUUUUCUGGACAAUAUUUCAAUUUCCCCGAGGAAGAAUUCCAGCAAGCUUCUAAGGAUUCUAGUAACCAAUAAAGCGAGUUGAGCACAACAGAUGAAGAUCUCUUGAAUAGAAUGGGAUUUAGAGUUAUGAAAAAACUCACUGAUACUUCCUAAAAUCAAGAUAAUUCUCCCAAUGUAAUCUUGACAAAUCGAUUAUAGUUCAUAAAAAAAGGGUGAGCACAUGCAUCUUUGAAUACCAAUUAUUUUAGGAAGUGUUAACCCAACAGUUUGACGUCUGUCGUUCAAGACAAUCGAUUUGGAAGAAUCAUCAAAGGAAGAGGAUUAAAUACAUCUUCCUGAUAAUUAGAUAUAUAAUAAUUCACUGUAUCUUGCUGUUAAAGCAUCGCUUUUAGAGCGACGAUCUACCAGCAAAAUGGAGUCUGACUACCAAACUUCAAGAAAAAUGGACGACUAACGACAACGUCGUCACGGAUGACAACGAAGACCAUAAGGACAUUCGCUUGUGUUGUCGACUGACUAGUCUUGACCGAAAUUGUGUUAAAAGUACGUUGUACAUAGUCCCUGUGUAAAUAGUGUAGUAAAAACUUGGCUUUCCCGACGUUUCCGCAAAUUCGCUUUCUCACGGCCUCCGUCGCAGAGGCACAGAAACUCGUAGUCUCUGAGGAGAAAGCAGUACAAAUGGAAUCGUGUGCGUGCGUGGUGUCAUGAAGACCUGUCGCGAGUGUUCGAUCUCGUCGAAGCGGCGUAAGCAUCCUUCUCUUCGUUUCUUUUCAACUCGCAACUGGUAAUGAAUGUGUAUUUAAUCUUAUAUACAACAUAUACAGUUGUAAGCUUGGUAAAACGGCUGGUUCGUGCAUUUUAGAACUUCAGUGACUACUUUUAAGAAACUGUCGUAGCUCAGGAGUAAAAGUAAGAGCAAUUUUAUCUUUCCAAUGAUGAUUUAAUUACUCUACUCGAAGCAAUAUUACCACUUGUGAGUUGAAAGUUCCAUUCGUGGGUAGAUAAAUUUGCAUCCAUGGACAUUUUCUAUGAAAGAUUGCAUUUAAUAUGUCCGCAGGUUUGUGCACUCGCGAAGCUAUUGUUGCAUUAUAGAGUUUGCGAAGUUUAUUUGCGAUCGUCGCACCUCGUACGAUCGCAGAUCGUUUUCUUUUUUUAAUUUUGCUAUCGAUAAUCAUAGAUGCAUAUUUAUUAUUAAUUUUUUUAGAUAAAAAUUACUUUUCACCACGAUAAUAAUAAUAAAUUGUAGGAAUAUGAAAGUUUAAUAAUUCUUGUUAAUUUCCUGGCUGACAAGAGCGUUUCGCCUUGGGGUCUGUUGGUUAUUUUCUGUUUUUCGAUCUGUUGUCGCUUUGUGGUGUCCAUCAAAUCGAGUUUACAAGGGACAAAGUAAGCUGCGGAGAACACCUCGCUCAAAGAGCGAGACAUUCCUGCUAUACGACGUGUAACCUUUGUAUUCGUACCGUUACGAUGAACCUUAAGCUGUAUCGAUUAUCCGCGUAUAACAUAACAAGUGACAAAAAUAAGAUAUAAAUAUUGUAACGUAAAUAAAAAAUAAACGUUAAAUAUUAUCCUUGGAA
rnacentral:misc_RNA from 1 species